rnacentral:rRNA from 1 species
UAAAGAGUUCUAUAACUCCCAAACCCAUGUGAACAUACCUAACGUUGCCUCGGCAGGUCGCACCUACCUUGUAGCAUCCUACCCUGUAGGGCCUACCCGGGAGGUGCGGGUAAGCCUGCCGGCGGCCCACCAAACUCUGUUUGAUAUUGAAUUCUGAACCUAUAACUAAAUAAGUUAAAACUUUCAACAACGGAUCUCUUGGUUCUGGCAUCGAUGAAGAACGCAGCGAAAUGCGAUAAGUAAUGUGAAUUGCAGAAUUCAGUGAAUCAUCGAAUCUUUGAACGCAUAUUGCGCCCAUUAGUAUUCUAGUGGGCAGGACCGUUCGAGCGUCAUUUCAACCCUUAAGCCUUCGUUGCUUAGUGUUGGGAGCCUACGGCAACGUAGCUCCUCAAAGUUAGUGGCGGAGUUGGUUCACACUCUAGACGUAGUAAUUUUUUAUCUCGCCUAUUAGUUGGACUAAUCCCCUGCCGUAAAACCCCCAAUUUAUAUCAAGGUUGACCUCGAAUCGGUUCAGACAAACUCGCUAAAUUGAAGCAUCUUAGUCAGCGAAGGAAAAGAAACCAACAGGGAUUGCCCUAGUAACGGCGAGUGAAGCGGCAACAGCUCAAAUUUGAAAUCUGGCCCUCGG